GAAUAUUGGACAAUGGGCGAAAGCCUGAUCCAGCAAUGCCGCGUGAGUGAUGAAGGCCUUAGGGUUGUAAAGCUCUUUUACCCGGGAUGAUAAUGACAGUACCGGGAGAAUAAGCCCCGGCUAACUCCGUGCCAGCAGCCGCGGUAAGACGGAGGGUGCAAACGUUGUUCGGAAGCACUGGGCGUAAAGGGCGCGUAGGCGGACUCGUAAGUCGGGAGUGAAAACUCGGGGCUCAACCCCGAGCCUGCUUCUGAAACUGCGAGUCUUGAGGACCGGAGAGGAAAGUGGAAUUCCUAGUGUAGCGGUGGAAUGCGUAGAUAUUAGGAAGAACACCAGUGGCGAAGGCGACUUUCUGGACGGUUCCUGACGCUGAGGCGCGAAAGCUAGGGGAGCAAACAGG
rnacentral:rRNA from 1 species